rnacentral:rRNA from 1 species
AACGAACGCUGGCGGCAGGCUUAACACAUGCAAGUCGAGCGCCCCGCAAGGGGAGCGGCAGACGGGUGAGUAACGCGUGGGAAUCUACCCAUCUCUACGGAACAACUCCGGGAAACUGGAGCUAAUACCGUAUACGUCCUUCGGGAGAAAGAUUUAUCGGAGAUGGAUGAGCCCGCGUUGGAUUAGCUAGUUGGUGGGGUAAUGGCCUACCAAGGCGACGAUCCAUAGCCGGUCUGAGAGGAUGAUCAGCCACACUGGGACUGAGACACGGCCCAGACUCCUACGGGAGGCAGCAGUGGGGAAUAUUGGACAAUGGGCGAAAGCCUGAUCCAGCCAUGCCGCGUGAGUGAUGAAGGCCCUAGGGUUGUAAAGCUCUUUCAACGGUGAAGAUAAUGACGGUACCUUGAUAAGAAGCACCGGCUAACUACGUGCCAGCCGCCGCCGUAACAC